rnacentral:rRNA from 1 species
CACUGCCGAGAAAAGCCUCUAGAUAGAAAAUAGGUGCCCGUACCGCAAACCGACACAGGUAGUCAAGAUGAGAAUUCUAAGGUGAGCGAGCGAACUCUCGUUAAGGAACUCGGCAAAAUGACCCCGUAACUUCGGGAGAAGGGGUGCUCUUUAGGGUUAACGCCCAGAAGAGCCGCAGUGAAUAGGCCCAAGCGACUGUUUAUCAAAAACACAGGUCUCUGCUAAACCGUAAGGUGAUGUAUAGGGGCUGACGCCUGCCCGGUGCUGGAAGGUUAAGAGGAGUGGUUAGCUUCUGCGAAGCUACGAAUCGAAGCCCCAGUAAACGGCGGCCGUAACUAUAACGGUCCUAAGGUAGCGAAAUUCCUUGUCGGGUAAGUUCCGACCCGCACGAAAGGCGUAACGAUUUGGGCACUGUCUCAACGAGAGACUCGG